rnacentral:piRNA from 1 species
UCAUCUAUAGAUACGUCAGCA